AGUGAACGCUGGCGGUAGGCCUAACACAUGCAAGUCGAACGGCAGCACAGUAAGAGCUUGCUCUUACGGGUGGCGAGUGGCGGACGGGUGAGGAAUACAUCGGAAUCUACUUUUUCGUGGGGGAUCACGUAGGGAAACUUACGCUAAUACCGCAUACGACCUACGGGUGAAAGCAGGGGAUCUUCGGACCUUGCGCGAUUGAAUGAGCCGAUGUCGGAUUAGCUAGUUGGCGGGGUAAAGGCCCACCAAGGCGACGAUCCGUAGCUGGUCUGAGAGGAUGAUCAGCCACACUGGAACUGAGACACGGUCCAUAGUCCUACGGGAGGCAGCAGUGGGGAAUAUUGGACAAAGGGCGCAAGCCUGAUCCAGCCAUACCGCGUGGGUGAAGAAGGCCUUCGGGUUGUAAAGACCUUUUGUUGGGAAAGAAAAGCAGCAGGUUAAUACCCCGCUGUUCUGACGGUACCCAAAGAAUAAGCACCGGCUAACUUCGUG
rnacentral:rRNA from 1 species